UUGGACAAUGGGCGCAAGCCUGAUCCAGCCAUACCGCGUGGGUGAAGAAGGCCUUCGAGUUGUAAAGCCCUUUUGUUGGGAAAGAAAAGCAGCCGGUUAAUACCCGGUUGUUCUGACGGUACCCAAAGAAUAAGCACCGGCUAACUACGUGCCAGCAGCCGCGGUAAU
rnacentral:rRNA from 1 species